rnacentral:rRNA from 1 species
UGCCAGACUCCUACGGGAGGCAGCAGUGGGGAAUAUUGGGCAAUGGGCGCAAGCCUGAUGCAGCAACGCCGCGUGAAGGAAGAAGGGUUUCGGCUCGUAAACUUCUAUCAACAGGGACGAAAGAAAUGACGGUACCUGAAUAAGAAGCCCCGGCUAACUACGUGCCAGCAGCCGCGGUAAUACGUAGGGGGCAAGCGUUAUCCGGAUUUACUGGGUGUAAAGGGGGCGCAGACGGCGAUGCAAGCCAGGAGUGAAAGCCCGGGGCCCAACCCCGGGACUGCUCUUGGAACUGCGUGGCUAGAGUGCAGGAGGGGCAGGCGGAAUUCCUGGUGUAGCGGUGAAAUGCGUAGAUAUCAGGAGGAACACCGAUGGCGAAGGCGGCCUGCUGGGCCUUUACUGACGCUGAGGCUCGAAAGUGUGGGGAGCAAACAGGAUUAGAUACCCUGGUA